UCGAUGAGAACCAAAGGUUGGAGGACAAAAUCCCAAAAACUCGAGCUCAAUAAUUUGCUUGUAAAAUUAGAACACAGAAUGAUUUAGUAGCAUCAACUUGGUGUGAUGAACAUUAAUUCCUAUAUCACAUUGCUGUUCCUCAAGAACAAACUGUAUGAGUGAUGUGCGAAUUUUGAACCUUGACUUUAGUCAAACUCUGGCGGCCCAUUUUGGCAAACCGCUUAUUAUUGCGUGAAGAGUUUGGGAUAAAUUGUACAAUGUUCAUUCAAGUCUUUGAGGGUGGUAGGAAAAACAUGAUUAAAUUCAAAAACCAGGGUUUCUUUUUAGCUAUCUAUCUAUCAGAGAGACAACCACAGAGAGAAAGAGGAGGGUAAAAUUAUCUAGGGUUUUUGAAGUGAAAGUUUAGGGAUUUUGUUUGUUUGAUGAGAUGGAGAACAAACUUGUUGAACCAGCAGUUGAAAGGAAAAGCAUCAUUUCUUCAAGAUCUACAUGAAGAAGAAGAAAACAGAAGAUUGGUCUUCUUCUCUUUGGUCCACCUGGUAAUGGGAAGACCAUGCUUGAUAAAGCUGUUGCAUCGGGGUCCGCAGCUACGUUUUUUAAUGUUUCUGCAUCCUCUCUAAUAUCGAAGUGGGUUGGAGAAGCUGAAAAGCUUGUUCGCACUCUUUUCGAGGUUGCGAUUUCAAGGCAGCCUUCUGUAUCUUCAUGGAUGAG